GACGAACGCUGGCGGCGUGCUUAACACAUGCAAGUGGAGCGACGAACCAGGCUUCGGCCUGGGGCAGAGCCGCGAACGGGUGAGUAACACGUGGGUAACCUGCCCCGAUGACUGGGACAACCCGGGGAAACCCGGGCUAAUACCGGAUGUGCUGCUCUCGCAUACGCGAGAUCAGGAAAGGAAGCUUCGGCCUCCGCAUCGGGAUGGGCCCGCGGCCCAUUAGCUUGUUGGUGAGGUAACGGCUCACCAAGGCUUCGAUGGGUAGCUGGUCUGAGAGGACGAUCAGCCACACUGGGACUGAGACACGGCCCAGACUCCUACGGGAGGCAGCAGUGGGGAAUCUUGCGCAAUGCGCGAAAGCGUGACGCAGCAACGCCGCGUGGGGGAAGACGGCCUUCGGGUUGUAAACCCCUUUCAGGAGGGACGAAGGUUCACCGGUGAAUAGCCGUGUGGAUUGACGGUACCUCCACAAGAAGCUCCGGCUAACUACGUGCCAGCCGCCGCGGUAAAAC
rnacentral:rRNA from 1 species